rnacentral:rRNA from 1 species
UACAGAGGGCGCGAGCGUUGUCCGGAAUCACUGGGCGUAAAGGGCGCGUAGGUGGCCACUAUAAGGCCGCGGUGAAAGUUCGGGGCUCAACCCUGAAUCUGCCGCGGCGACUGUAGGGCUAGGGCACCGUAGAGGCAGAUGGAAUUCCGGGUGUAGCGGUGGAAUGCGUAGAGAUCCGGAAGAACACCGGUGGCGAAGGCGGCAUCCUGGACCGGUAUUGACGCUGAUGCGCGAAAGCCAGGGGAGCAAACGGG